UACGGAGGGGGUUAGCGUUGUUCGGAAUUACUGGGCGUAAAGCGCGCGUAGGCGGAUUAGAAAGUUGGGGGUGAAACCCCGGGGCUCAACCUCGGAACUGCCUCCAAAACUGCUAGUCUAGAGUUCGAGAGAGGUGAGUGGAAUUCCGAGUGUAGAGGUGAAAUUCGUAGAUAUUCGGAGGAACACCAGUGGCGAAGGCGGCUCACUGGCUCGAUACUGACGCUGAGGUGCGAAAGUGUGGGGAGCAAACAGG
rnacentral:rRNA from 1 species